GAUCGCGUAACUCAGUUGGAUAGAGUGCCAGAUUCCUAAUCUGGAAGUCGGUGGUUCAAAUCCACCCGUGAUCACCA
rnacentral:tRNA from 2 species